UACGUAGGGCGCAAGCGUUGUCCGGAAUUAUUGGGCGUAAAGAGCUCGUAGGCGGCUUGUCACGUCGGGUGUGAAAGCCCGGGGCUUAACUCCGGAUCUGCGGUGGGUACGGGCAGACUAGAGUGAUGUAGGGGAGACUGGAAUUCCUGGUGUAGCGGUGAAAUGCGCAGAUAUCAGGAGGAACACCGAUGGCGAAGGCAGGUCUCUGGGCAUUAACUGACGCUGAGGAGCGAAAGCAUGGGGAGCGAACAGG
rnacentral:rRNA from 1 species